rnacentral:lncRNA from 1 species
CGUGCUUCCGGGAUCCGGAGCCGAUGGUACAGGAACGGACCGCCUUCGGUGUAACACAAAACGAGCUCCCCUCGGAGCCUGCGGGCGAGUGGAACUUUGGUUCCUCACAUGGCUGGUUUCUCAGUGCGGUUGGUUUCCUCUUGGUUGAAGUGACUCAUUUUCAGGGAGGUCAUUGGAGUCGAGCUGCAAGUGAAGGAAAAUACGCAACAGCGUGAGAAGGACUUUAAUGACUUAAGCGGAAGAGACAAGAACUGGAAUUAUAAACGGAGUAAAACCAAGAGAUCACAGGAUAUUUGUUAAGAAAUUGAGAUCGUGUGCGGCUCCAGACAAAAAUCCCAGCACUAUGAAGGAAACAUGCGCACAGAGUCCUACCCAUAACCAAGAAGUCUCUGCAAUUGAUAUCUGGAAAAGGGAAAAUAAAUCAGGUUUGGACAGUGUAAUGUUAUUGUGUAUAUCAACUAUGCUCCAGGGUAGGGCCUAUAGCCAGGAGUAAUUGGUCAAUCAAUAUAUAUAUUAUUGGGCUUUUGUUGUUGCUUUAGUUUGGUUGUGUCUUUUGAUUUUUCAAUUUUUUGAAAGAGAGAGAUAAAGCAUAAACAUCCAAAAGAAAAACAAAUGAGAAAAGUUUUGUAUUUAGGUAUAUAAAAAAAGAUAUUGUCUUCUAUCAUCAGAAGCAAAAACGUUUCAAUGAAUGAUUAAUCUUGUGAAGAAGUUUGAAAUAUUUCUUUUUCAGGAUUGAAUUCUGCACAAAAUCAUUUGGUACCAACUUUUCAAUAUCAUCAAACUAUGCCAGGAGGUGUUUAGACCAAAAACUCUAUGGCUGUUUCAUAAAGAAGAAAAUGUGUUUAUGAAGCUUAAAUGAUUUGCUCAAUUUUGUAAAAUUGUUUAGUGCCAAAAUCCAAACCAGCACAAAAUUUCAGAAAGAGGAAGAAGGAGAGGGGGUCAUGGAGGACAGCUGGAGGACGGGAGAUCAGCAAUCAGCAAGUAUAUUUUUAAGAGCAUACACUGGGUCAUAUGAUGGGUUUAGAUUCAUUAGAUAAGGACUCCAAGAUUCCCAGAUGUUGCCUAACUUCACCAGGAUUAUUUAAGUAAUGCUGUUUUGUUUUUUGUUUGUUUUGUUUGGGUUUGUUUGUUUGUUUGUUUUGGUAUUUUGUUGUUGUUUUGUUUUGAUAUUAUGAUACUUUCCCUGGGGAAAUAGGAACAGAUGCCUUUUCUUCCUGGACAGAAAGACCAAAGAAACACUUCCACAGGAAACCCUCUUGGUUUUAUACCCACAGAAGCAGGAUAUGUGGAGGGGGACGAUGCAGAAUCGCUUUGUUUCUGGGGGAAUGCACCUGUUCCAAAAGCAGGAUGGGAGGGUUGAUACCAGAUCAAAGGAAGUGUGGCCCAUGGGAUGUCGGCUUGAGUGGCGAUAAAGAUGUAGACAACCGUGAUGUCCCUUAGAAAAGUACGCAUGAAAAUUGCUCAACCAAAUUUAAAACGCCAUUCAUAAGAAACGAACUUGAAAGCCAGGUGUGGUGGCGCACGCCUUUAAUCCCAGCACUCGGGAGGCAGAGGAAGGCAGAUUGGCAGACCUGAAUUCACUGCUCUGUAGCUGACCCGGGAAGCAGCUUGUGGUCUCUUAGGGAAGAAAACAGCCAAAGGAACCUGAUACUUUCCUCAAGUGUUCUAACUAAGAAAAUGCCUCAGAUGGAAUGAAACCGUCAAUGGGAACUGAGGAGGCGCACGUGUGAGGUCCAGCACUGCCACAGAGAGGAAACUACUGGUCAAGGAUUGCCUCGCCUAUGUCAGAGGGAGUGCGCGAGCGCGAGGUACUAACAUAAUGGACAACUAGGAUGAACAUGUGGAAAGUAGCUGUUCUGUAUUAGGCAGCUGCAGAACAGCCUGACUCCAAACUCUGAUCAUUCAGAAUGAGGCAUGGAAAACUCUUUGUGUUAGGAAUGAUUCCAGUGAGACUCCUGCUUGGUGUGCUUUCUUGUUCAUGUCAUUAAACAUGGCUCCUGCAGAGG